rnacentral:tRNA from 1 species
UCCCUGGUGGUCCAAGGCCUAGGACUCGGCACUUUCAAUGUAGGGGUCCCAGGUUCAAUCCCAGGUCAGGGAA